rnacentral:rRNA from 1 species
UACGUAGGAGUCAAGCGUUAAUCGGAAUUACUGGGCGUAAGCGUGCGCAGGCGGUUUUGUAAGUCUGUCGUGAAAUCCCCCGGGCUCAACCUGGGAAUUGCGAUGGAGACUGCAAGGCUAGAAUCUGGCAGAGGGGGGUAGAAUUCCACGUGUAGCAGUGAAAUGCGUAGAAAUGUGGAGGAACACCGAUGGCGAAGGCAGCCCCCUGGGUCAAGAUUGACGCUCAUGCACGAAAGCGUGGGGAGCAAACAGG